rnacentral:rRNA from 1 species
UGUGUAGGCGGCGCCGUAAGUCAGGUGUGAAAUCUCGGGGCUUAACUCCGAAACUGCAUUUGAUACUGCGGUGCUUGAGGACUGGAGAGGAGACUGGAAUUUACGGUGUAGCGGUGAAAUGCGUAGAUAUCGUAAGGAAGACCAGUGGCGAAGGCGGGUCGUCUGGACAGUUCCUGACGCUGAGACACGAAGGCCAGGGGAGCAAACG